rnacentral:tRNA from 1 species
GAGGGUAUAGCUUAGUGGUAGAGGGCAUGCCUAGCAAUGCACAAGGCCCUGGGUUCAAUUCCCAGUACCUCUG